UUGUCAAUAUCACGGUGCCUUGUUUUCAUAACAUUCAAUUUUUCAUUGUCUUUGAUUUAGUUAACAUUUUUGUGUAAAUAGAAUAAUGUCAAUAAGCUCUGGUUCAGAUUUGUCCGAUUAUGAAGACAUUACUGAUACAUAUAAAGUAGAAGAAGACACUACAACUUUGAAAGUUUUAGACAACACCAAGCCUUGCAUUUGCGAUUCAGUUGAGGAAGCUACUCGAUUUCUUCAUAGUUAUGAAAUCAGUAAUUCUGUUAGGUUUGCUGCCCU
rnacentral:lncRNA from 1 species